rnacentral:rRNA from 1 species
UACGUAGGGGGCGAGCGUUGUCCGGAAUUACUGGGCGUAAAGGGUUCGCAGGCGGAAAUGCAAGUCAGAUGUAGAAGGCAGAAGCUCAACUACCGUAAGCAUUUGAAACUGUAUAUCUUGAGUAGAGGAGAGGUAAGUGGAAUUUUUAGUGUAGCGGUGAAAUGCGUAGAUAUUAGAAGGAAUACCGGUGGCGAAGGCGACUUGCUGGGCUCAUUCUGACGCUGAGGAACGAAAGCGUGGGUAGCAAACAGG